UACUUAAUCUAUAUAAACUCAAUUUAUUUUAAAAUGAAUGUAAUGGAUGUAACACAUCUAAUACUAAGUUUCAACAACGGAUCUCUUCAAUCUCGCAUCGAUGAAGAACGCAGCGAAAUGCGAUAAGUAAUGUGAAUUGCAGAAUUCAGUGA
rnacentral:rRNA from 1 species